UACCCUUGACAUCCUGCGAAUCUGGCUGAGAGGCUGGAGUGCCGAAAGGAACGCAGAGAC
rnacentral:rRNA from 1 species